GCCGAUAGGACAUUUCAAACCCUUUGUAGUUGCAAUCAGCGUCAGAAAAAAACUAUAAUAGUUACAACUUUCAACAACGGAUCUCUUGGUUCUGGCAUCGAUGAAGAACGCAGCGAAAUGCGAAAAGUAGUGUGAAUUGCAGAAUUCAGUGAAUCAUCGAAUCUUUGAACGCACAUUGCGCCCCUUGGUAUUCCAUGGGGCAUGCCUGUUCGAGCGUCAUUUGUACCCUCAAGCUCAGUCUUGGUGUUGGGUGUUUGUCCUGCCCUCGUGGCGGACUCGCCUUAAAGUGAUUGGCAGCCGGAAUAAAUCUGGGGAACGCAGCACAACUGCAGCCUCUAGUCUUAUACGCCGAGCGUCCAACAAGCCUUUUAUUCUUGCGUUUGACCUCGGAUCAGGUAGGGAUACCCGCUGAACUUAAGCAUAUCAAUA
rnacentral:rRNA from 1 species